CGUGGCUCUGCGUCAAGUUCAUUUAUGUAGGUGUUUCCUUCCGAAGGUAAAGGAAUGUACUGAUUAGAGAAGAAGCUGCUUCCAUAACCCAGGACAAAACCUUCAAGUUUGGUGUUUUGGCUUGGUCGAAGAUACCUCAUGCAAACAGUGUCAUCUGUUGCAUUGAUCUGAAUUUUCAGACUCUGUCUUUUCACUCUGGGCAAUUUCUGAGUACUUCCCAGGUUUACUGCAAUAUAUCCACAGAAAAGGAGAAGCACCAAUCUUGGCAUCAUGGUUACAAACCCAAGCUCGCACUGUGAAUGAUUCUGACAGGUAUCACACCAAAGUACUGCAGCUGCAUUUAAGGGAACGGUUCUCUCUG
rnacentral:lncRNA from 1 species